GCAUACUUCGGGCUUGUGACCUGAAGGCCUGUCCUUGGUUGGAGUAAUGAAUCUUAUCAUAUUUCUUUAGGAUUUUUCGGACUGCUAUGGCAUUUAUAAGUGCAUACGUAACCAGAUCNNNNNNNNNNNGGCAACAUGAUUUCCUUGCAACUUGCCUUUGAACCAAAUAAAGUAUUUUUGAAAGCCAGAAGCCAGGUGCAGCUCAAGCAAUUUCUGUGCUCGUUCACUAAAGCAACCAACUACUGCAGACAUUUCUUUGAGAAGGGAAGAGAAG
rnacentral:misc_RNA from 1 species